ACACGUACGGGCCAAACACCAGUCUCCGAAAUUUUUAAAAAGAGCUAUUUGCUCAGAAGUUUAUAGUCGCUUUAUUGAGAACGGUGAUACUAUGACUAAAGGUUUUUCAUCCCAGUCAAAACGGAAUUUACCUCGAAUCGCAAUUUUAUUACUGCUGCUUGUGAUUUUUUUUGCUACCUACCAGAAAAACUGUGUUAGUAAUAAAAAUUGUAAUGCUUCAAAAAAAUUCCAGCUUGCAAAAAACGAUUUACCAGAUCUAAUGACGAUUUCAUCCGUUUUACAUUCUCCUUUACCACAUUAUAACUUGAUGGAAGAAACUUCGGGAUUUCGAAAAUCUGCUAAACAAACAAGUUACAGCAAUAAGUGUGGUCUAGAUUAUAUGAAUGCAAAUAAAAUGGAGCAAGAUCACCCAUGCGUAAUCGAAACAAUUCGACAGUUUUUCUUGCAUAAGCCGCCACCAUCGAAUGUUCCACUCAAACUGGAUUCCAACGAUGCUGGAAACCGGUCACCGGGACAGACUGCCGUUAUAAUGAGGCUCUUAAAAAAUCAGACUAAAGGUUUUUUUGUGGAAUGUGGUGCCCUAGAUGGUGAAUAUAUGUCAAAUACAAUCGACUUAGAACGCAAAUUUGGCUGGAAUGGCAUAUUGAUCGAAGCCAACCCAGUAACAUUUAAAAAACUUUCGGCUCGUCAUCGUAAAGCAUGGACGCUUCCCGUGUGUCUUAGUUUGGAACCAUUUCCUACAAAAGUCACUUUUCAAAUGAAGGUGGGCGACCCCGGUCAUAGCCACAUCGAAGGAGAGUCUGAAACCUUACAGGAACCCGGCAUACCUGGAGUCGAUCCAAACUUAAUAGAAGUCCAGUGUUUUCCCUUUUACUCAAUACUGUUAGCCGUUGGUGUAACUCAAGUGGAUUUUCUAAGCCUCGACGUCGAAGGUCACGAACUGAAAAUUCUCAAAACCAUUCCGUGGCGGAAACUGGAUAUUAAGUUCCAGGGCUCUAAUUUGUUCCGGACAGUGUCUCUCUCCUGCUGCGUGCUGGUUUACUGUGCUUGAUGAUGACUUCGACGAUGAUGCAGUCGACGACUUCUUUGAAGAGCAUUGAGUGCAGGUGAUGCAUUUAAAUUGCUUCGGGUUUGACACGAUGCAUGCGCUCGUGCGAUGUGCACCGGCACAUUUCCCGCAGACGUCUUCAGUGGCCUUGCAAUCUUUAAGGUGGCCGUACAUUUGGCACUUGAAGCAGCGACGGAUCUACCUGUUUAAGUCGGGUUGAGUUACACGACAGCGUCUUGCCGGAAGAAAGAUUUCAGCCCGCUUCAGAAACUCUUCUUUGACGGCUUUCGAUGAUUCCUGUAUCUUAUCUCCUCCAGAAUUGUAUCUCCAGAGGCUUCCCGAUUCAUGAAACGAACCAACACUGGAUGAUACUCGGUCGGCUCACUUACGGUUUUGAAAAUCUCUUUACAGUUCGGAGAGGAUUCCAGGAUCUUCUUGGCAGCUGCUCUUGAAACUACAACGAUGAAGCCAUUCUUGCCAUCGUCGCUCCAGUUGUUCCAGCCUCCUGCUACUUCGCCCAGCGGCCGUGUGGAGAUCAAGACUAGUCAUAAGAUUGUGCCGAUAUGAUGCCGAUCAGAAAACUACCCGCUUCAAGAUUGACUCCAUUCAUACUUAAGAUCGGUGAAUGUUUCACCAUAAUUGUUGAAAAACAAGCAUUUACACAAACGUCUAACUCGUGCACGGAAGCCAUAGUUUUCCUUCUUUCUGUGUAUUACAUGUUCCAUAUUAUAGGGUGGUACAAAGCCACCAUUCAUGCAAACCGAAUUGUUAAAACUGCCGUUACAUGAUCAAGAAAUUCAUUUUGAUUAUGUUUCUAUCUUUACAAAUGAUCUGCAUGCCGUUUACGAAGAGCAAGAGUAAUUUUUUUUCAAUUAUCCUUAACAUUUGUUUAAUAACCCUGUUUUAAACCAAGACGAUGGACGCAUUGUCCUGCCAUUUUGUUUCUUCUUUUUUUUUUUUUUCGCAAAAAAUUCUGUUUGGGAUUUAUGUUUUAUCAAUUUUUCUAUUGUUACAUAAAUACAAUGGUUUUUGGUAAA